rnacentral:tRNA from 1 species
GGAUGGGUGACAGAGUGGUUGAUUGUGCACGCCUGGAAAGCGUGUGUGCCGAAAGGCACCGGGGGUUCGAAUCCCCCCCCAUCCGCCG